GAUGAACGCUGACAGAAUGCUUAACACAUGCAAGUCGAUGGGGAAGUGGUGCUUGCACCAUGGUAACCAUGGCGGACGGGUGAGUAACACGUAAGGAACUUACCUGCGGGACCGGGAUAACAGCAGGAAACUGCUGACAAGACCGGAUAAGGUCAUUAAGCUGCAUAGCUUAGUGAUGAAAGGAGACGCCUGCGGAGAGCCUUGCGUCCUAUUAGCUAGUUGGAAGGGUAACGGCCCACCAAGGCGAAGAUAGGUAGCCGGCCUGAGAGGGUGGACGGCCACAAGGGGAAUGAGAUACGGCCCUUACUCCUACGGGAGGCAGCAGUGGAGAAUAUUGGACAAUGGGGGCAACACUGAUCAAGCAAUUCUGUGUGCACGAAGACGGUUUUCGGAUUGUAAAGUGCUUUCAGCAGGGAAGAAGGAAGUGACGGUACCUGCAGAAGAAGCGACGGCUAAAUACGUG
rnacentral:rRNA from 1 species